rnacentral:rRNA from 1 species
UACAGAGGGGGCAAGCGUUGUUCGGAAUUACUGGGCGUAAAGGGCGCGUAGGCGGCCUGUUAAGUCGAACGUGAAAUCCCCGGGCUCAACCCGGGAACUGCGUCCGAUACUGGCAGGCUCGAAUCCGGGAGAGGGAUGCGGAAUUCCAGGUGUAGCGGUGAAAUGCGUAGAUAUCUGGAGGAACACCGGUGGCGAAGGCGGCAUCCUGGACCGGCAUUGACGCUGAGGCGCGAAAGCCAGGGGAGCAAAGCGGGG